AAACCAGCCCCAACCUCGUUUUCAGCCUUCAGGCGUGGUGGGGGAGGUCUGGCGCUGCCGGGUUCUGCUUCCAGCCUGCUGUGGGAAGGGAUCCGUGGCCCCUGAGAGGAGGGCGGUGUUGGUGUGAGGGUGACAGAGCUCUGGGCAGCGCCAAAUGUUGAUCCCGAAGCAGCAAUGAGCAUUGGAGGCAGCAAACCUCGCCAUGAAACCCUCUGCAGCUGGUUCUCUGGACGAGGUUUCAGGACUGGAUUUCAAAGAGCUUCCCCUGGUCUCCACAGGAGCCUCAUUAAGGUGAAGAGAAGCAGCAGCAGCAGGGAGAAGCAGCACUGCCAGAUGGACCAAGCUCCAAUCCUCACACCUCCCCCUGAACCACAGCACUAUGAUUUUGGAGAGGAAAGAUGAUCCUUUGCAGGAAGAGGAAAGAAGACAUGGGCAGAUGAACAGGGACCAGGAGAAGAAUGGGUGGAGGAAAGAGGCUGCUCAGGUGAGAGGACACAUGACCUCUGAAGGGGACAUACUGAGUAAAGAGGGAGGCUGAAGAAAAGGAACUCCUACAGCUGAAAAAUCCACCCUGGCAGGUGAGUGAUCCACGUCUGCCAGGUUUCCUGGUGCUGUGAGACUUGCCCUGAUGGCAAUCAGCCAGCACAUCUUUAGGAAUUUAAACCUGUAGCUUACUCUUGAAUUAAAUCAGUGAAUUGGAUAAGCUAGAGAGAGCACUUUAGGAUCCUGCAGUCACUCUCAAAGUAUCACUCUUAAGAAUCCUGAACAUUUGCCAUCACAGCACAUCCCAUUUGCACAUCCCAUCAUCUAUUUUAGGCAUCUAAUUUUCAAUGUCAGAGUAGAGCCUCCAAGAGCCUCCUGAGUAGCACAGAAUCAACUUCAGGUCACUCAGGACAACAGGCUAAAGAUGAUCUGAUGGCCUUGGGCAUUGCCAAGGAUGGUUUCAGCAGCAGGAAGAAAUGCCCCAGCACACUGCCCUCUUUCUGUCAUGGAUUUCUCUAGGUUCUCAUUAAGACUGAGGAACAUUUGCACCUGCUCAC